UGAGGGCGGUGGUGCUGGUAACAGAGGUUUUCUCAGGUUGUUGAACACGGUACAUUGCAUGGAAUGAAUGUCAUUUGCAUGAAAUGAGGUGUUUUAUCAUAGUCGAUAGGGUACCACCAGUGCAAGUGAUGACUGCACUGCACUUCAUGAACUUUGCACAGUUUUGUUUGAAUUUUUCAAAGUACAUGAAUUUAACUCCUCACAUUGACAUCUACUUGAUUUAAGACAAUGCCUAUCCACAAACAUUUGUCACAGAUGAUUAUCAACUCUUAAAACACAACAUGACUUUGUUAAAAAUGAUCUUUUUAGGCAGACAGUGGACAUUGUAGUUAUUUCACUGAAAAUUAUGCUCAAACAAUUGCACAAAGAGGUUUUAAAGUGAAUUUGUUGAUGAUGGGACUUGGCAGAGGUUACCUGUUUCCUGACAGAAGUUGUGGUACCAGUAAUGCAACUUCUGUGUCUCUGCAUAGUUUAUGUUUUGGGCUGAUCAAACCUGCCUAAGACUGAUGUACACUGAUAAAAUUUGAAUAACUGGCUCAACAGAUACUGCGGCUGGUUACAAAGUUAAAACAACUUAAAGCAUUUUUUUCCCAGAGUUAUUAUGUUAUGAUAAACUAUGACAGAGCAUUAGAUUGGAGUUAUCAUUUGUUCAUAAAUGAAAGGGGAAUCUUUUCAUAACAUGGAUUUAUUUUUUCAUAUUGCCCGCAUCACAACAUGUUAAGCACAAAAGUUCUUUAAUACCUCACCUCUUUUUUUUUUUUUGUACUACUGAACUUCAGACGUGUUGUUUUUCUACUUAACUAACUUAACUAGCUACGAUAGCUACGAUAGCACCUACUUAACCCUGAAGUUCACCUUAUAAAAGGCAGACAGUCAUUACAGUUUUUUACAAUUGUCCAAACAGAAAUUUUAGUACCUCUGAAACAUUUUUCAAAACUCUUUGCACAGUUUCAGCCUAUGUGUCCUAUACAAUAAAAAAAAAUCUUGUUUGUUUUACACAAACUGCAUACAGUCGAGACAUUUCCAAAAUGUUUUAGCUUCUCUUACAAACAAGCUCUAUCAAAGCCAAAACAAUUGACCUUAACCCACAAACUUACAAAUGCUUUUACACAGUGUGUCAGAACAGAUAACCGUGUGUUCUAAAUGUAACCAACAAGUUAAAGUGAGAAGCUGUUCACUUUAUAGAUUCAAAGACAAUGAAGUAUCUCUUGCUUUUUACUUAUUGUCAUUGAAAAGCAGCUGAUGUGAAUUAGUCAACUAAUUGAAGUCACAGAUAAGUACAAUCACAGCUAAUACAUAAAAAGUUUGGUGUGGUGUGUCAGUUUGGGUCUGAGGAAACAAGACAAUAGAGAAUGGCAGAACGAAGAAGAGUUGGUCAAGGGAGAGGAAUUGGUUGAGGUCAAGGGAGAGGGACUCCUGAAGGGAGAGAGAGAAACAAGAGAAGAAACAAGAGGAGUGAGAAUGCAUGGCGGGGUCAACAAAGGGCCAGGACUCGGACCCUGAUAAAAUUAGGGCAACUAUAGUUGACCAUGUCAACUAAGGUCAUGGCCUAUCAUACAGAGAAGCUGGAGAAAGAGUUCAGCCUAAUCUCAGCAUCUAUUAUCUGGACUUUCCAAAAAACCAACCGGUAAGAUACAUCCUAAAGGUAUCUCCAAUUGAUCCAUUUACAGUAUUGAAUUUUACAGUAACAUGUAUUGUACUGUGUGACUGUGUGCCUCUGAUCCCCAUUAAGUUACGUUGUUCCUCCUCUCUGUAAGGAUCCAAUGUCCGCCUCACUCUGGGGGCAAUGGAAGGUUCCUAACUGAUCAGCAGGAGCUGGCCAUCGUGGCCAUGGUGGUAGACAACAAUGAAAUCAAACUCAAGGCAAUUCAGGCGAGAGUUCUGGAAGACAACAAAGUCUUUGGAACCAUCAACGCAAUCAGCCUAACAUCCAUUUCUCAGAUUCUGUGGAAACAUUUAAUCCGUAUGACACAGCUGUACACUGUUCUGUUCAAAAGAACAGUGAGCGGAUAAAAGAACGCCGUCAACAGUAGGGUUGGGAUUCGUUAGGAUUUGAACAAUUAUGAAUCCUUACCGAUUCGUUCUUACCGGUCUGAAUCCUCUUAAUGAAUCCUCUCAUAGAAUCCUACAUUAUGUUCAUUAUACUUCCUUUACUAAAACCAGUUUAUAAGAAACACAAAUACAGUCAUACCAUCGCAAAACCUUUGUUCUACCUGUGGCACAGUAUAAUCAGAUGGAAUACACAUUUGUGUAAAGAAAACAAUUUGCAGCCUGUGUUUUUUAAAUACAGGAAAACACAACAUGACACUUUAAUGUUACUUUAUAUUUAUGACAGACUGAUUUAAAGCCAAUUUUUAUCAAUAAUGUUACCAGUAACAUAACAUUAGAUAGGCAGGGAAACCCCAUGCUUUUCAAAAAGUCAUGUUGUUAACAUUAGUGCUCUAGCUAGCCAUUGACUUUAGCCUAGCUAAAUGGCUAGGAGCGCAGCAAUACACAGCACUUGUAUCAUACAACAAUGGGGCAACAAUAUUGUCAUUUCAAGCUACAUAAAUUAGAAGUUUAAACAAACUUUUGGGUUUGUUAUGUUAGUACUAGCCUGGAGGGGCUCUGGAUGCAGGCUCUAUUGGAGUGGCCUUAUUCAGCACAGCCUGCAGGUGUGCAGGUUGGAGCAGUUUCAUCCUGCACCGCCUGGGGGUGUGACGGUGAGGGCGGUGGCACUGGUAACGGAGGUUUUCUCAGGUUGUUGAACACGGUGCAUUGCAUGAAAUGAAUGUCUUGUUUUAGGAGGUGUACAAUCACAGCUUAUACAUGAAAAGUUUGGUUUGGUGUGUCAGUUUGGGUCUGAAGAAACAAGACUACAGAGAAUGGUAGAACGAAGAAGAGUUGACCAAGGGAGACGAGUUGGUAAAGGACAAGAAACAAGAGGAGUGAGAAUGCGUGGCAGUGUUCAACAAAGGGCCAGGACUCGGACCCUGAUAAAAUUAGGGCAACUAUAGUUGACGACGUCAUCAAUCAUGGCCUAUCAUACAGAGAAGCUGGAGAAAGAGUUCAGCCUAAUCUCAGCGCCACCCAUGAUGGUAGGCAAUUUAGGCGAGAGUCCUGGAAGACAACAAAGUCUUUGGAACCAUCAACGUGGGGCAAUGUGGCAUUCUAAUGGUCAUGUGAAGUGGCAGCAUGGUCAGAUGCCUAUUCCAGGAUGCAGUGUCUAUUCCUUGCCCCUUACGCUUCCUUCCUCAACCCAGUUGAGGAGUUCUACGACCAUCAGCCACAUGCCCAGGUGGCCCUCCUGGGAGCCAUGAAUGCCGCCUGUCAGGAGAUCACACCUGAGCACUGUCAGGGAUGGAUCAGACAUGCAAAGAGAUUAUUCCCCAGGUGCCUUGAAAGGAAAGACAUUUUGUGUGCUGUUAUUGAGGCCAUGUGGCCCAAUGUAGAGGACCGGGCAGAUUAGGAUCUUUUUUUCCUUACAAUAGUAUUUUUAUUUUUUAAUGCUACAUAUUUCUUCUGCACAUUUUUCAAUUGGUAUCCACAUAGAUUUUUUUUCUUGCAGAGCACAUAAAUAAAGCUUUUGUAACAAUUCCAC